GACGAACGCUGGCGGCGUGCUUAACACAUGCAAGUCGAACGGAAAGGCCCUGCUUGCAGUGUACUCGAGUGGCGAACGGGUGAGCAACACGCGGGUGUUCUGCCCUGCACUUCGGGAUAAGCCUGGGAAACUGGGUCUAAUACCGGAUAGAUGCCAUUUUUAGCGUGAUGGUUGGAAAGUUUUUUCGGUGUAGGAUGAGCUCGCGGCCUGUCAGCUUGUUGGUGGGGUAAUGGCCUACCGAGGCGGCGACGGGUAGCCGGCCUGAGAGAGUGGACGGCCACAUUGGGACUGAGAUACGGCCCAGACGCCGACGGGGGGCAGAAGGGGGGAAGAUUGCACGAUGGGCGCAAGCCUGAUGCAGCGGCGCCGCGUGGGGGAUGACGGCCUUCGGGUUGUAAACUCCUUUCGCUAGGGACGAAGCUUUUUGUGACGGUACCUAGUUAAGAAGCACCGGCUAACUACGUG
rnacentral:rRNA from 1 species